CAGUAGUCACGAGUUUGAUCAUGGCUCAGAACGAACGCUGGCGGCAUGCCUAACACAUGCAAGUCGAACGAGAUCUUCGGAUCUAGUGGCGCACGGGUGCGUAACGCGUGGGAAUCUGCCCUUUGCUUCGGAAUAACAGUUAGAAAUGACUGCUAAUACCGGAUGAUGUCUUCGGACCAAAGAUUUAUCGGCAAAGGAUGAGCCCGCGUAGGAUUAGCUAGUUGGUGAGGUAAAGGCUCACCAAGGCGACGAUCCUUAGCUGGUCUGAGAGGAUGAUCAGCCACACUGGGACUGAGACACGGCCCAGACUCCUACGGGAGGCAGCAGUGGGGGAAUAUUGGACAAUGGGCGAAAGCCUGAUCCAGCAAUGCCGCGUGAGUGAUGAAGGCCUUCGGGUUGUAAAGCUCUUUUACUCGGGACGAUAAUGACGGUACCGAGAGAAUAAGCCCCGGCUAACUCCGUG
rnacentral:rRNA from 1 species